rnacentral:lncRNA from 1 species
UGGCCCGCGGUUUUCAAAUUUCCACCUUCCCACUGGAUAAAGUUCAAGAAUUCUCUCAAUACUUUCUCCCUCUACGUACACAUUCAAAUUACGAUCACCUCCUUCGAUCAUAUUCUAAAGCUUCCACCGCCGGCAAAUCGACCAUAUUUUCUGGAACGAAAAGUGGGGAUGAAGACGACGAGUUUGUGGAGACCCAGUACUACAAAGAGUUGGAAUCCAUUGAUAAACAGCAUCGCACGGUUCGGUUAAUUAUUCCUUUUCUUUGCUUGUUGAAUUUGUAUAUGUUGGCAUAAAUACUUAUUAAAUUGGGGGUUUCUGGUUUCUUGUACUGAACAGACAGGAAAUGGUUUUAUAAAAAGGGACAUGGAAAAGAGCGGAAAUGAAGAGCAUUUUCAAUUACGAGGAAGCCAUGGCACUAAUGGAGGAUUUAAACAGACAAUUUUCAAAACUAACCCAGCAACAAAUGAUUGGAUUCCAAGCUUCGAAGAUCAUCAGGUGAUUUAAUUAUUAAUUCGGUGAUCACUUAUGCUAAUAAAAGUUGAUUUGAGAUUAGUGCAUUGGCUAUUUUAAUCAGGUUGAAUAUAUUUCGUCGAAGCCAAAUCGGAGCGAGAGUUGUUAGGUCGCCGGCAGUAAGAGAGAUUAUCAUGCCAUGGACUUAUCUUAUUUUAAUCUUGUAUUAUUGGAAAGAGAAAUUAGCCAUUUGGUGAGAAUAAAAUAUAUGGAAUUAUUGAGUAUUCCCCAAACGGGUGUUUGGAAGACAUUUUUAUGUAAAAAUAUAUUUUUUAAUAAUAAAUUGAUGAAAAAUGUGUGGUUAAAAAAUAAGGAAAUUUUUUUUAUUUAUGUGUAAUAUUAUUUUAAUAAAGAAUGUGUGAUUGAAUAAAAGAGAGAGAAAAAUGUAUUUUAAAAAAAUGGGUGCCAAACGGGGCCCAAGUGUGGCAAUGUGCAUUGUUGAAGUGCAAAAGUUUCACUAGGUUUGCAUUGGUCACUUAGUCCAUAUUUGGCCUCCAUGGUCUUUCUUAUUAUUCUCUCUCUCUUAUUUGUAAUCAUACAAUCUUCCAUAAAAUAAUAUUAUAUGCAAAUAAAAAAAAUUUCAUUCCUUUUCAAUUAGACAAUUUUCAAAAAAACACAAUUUCAGGGAGGGGCAUGUGGGUAUACUAAUUCUGUUAGAAUAAGGUUAUAAAUAGAGGAGGGGAAGAAAGGGUGCGUAGGGCAG